ACUGCAAGCGGCACAUAAACCGUGGUCACCAAUGUUCAAUAAAGCAUGUGGAAGGCCAAAAGGUGACACCCACCAUUGCAGAAUAGAGCCAUGGUUGUUUCUUGUGGUGUAUUGUCACACAUCCAGGUCGUGGCUUGACAACAUCCACAAAUUGCAUCCAUGAGCUCUUAUUCUUAAUUGUUAGUCCUUAAUGCUUUAGGUGUUCUAUGUGGUAUGGUCUGAUGGAAGAUUCAGGUAUGUCUUCACUUGGUAUGACUUGACAUGUACCGCUUCAACAAUAUUUCCCAUAAAGUGGGUAUUACUGCAUUAGUGUUCUUUUUUAAUUCUUUCUGGAAUUGAGGAAGUUGUUUAUUUUUAAUGCAGAUUAACAAGUUCAUUAUUAGCAAAUGGUUGGAUCACAAUUGAGCUUCUGAUCAUAAACCACUAUUCUGUUGAAGGAAGAAACUCCAUUUGGUGGGAAUAAACUGAUAGCGGUGGCAGCUUACUUGUAAUAGAAAGUGGUGCUCGAACUCAUCUCACUAGAAUAGCCGUUUACUUCAAAAUUGUAAAUCAAUCUUGUUUGUUGCAGCUUUGGGUGCUGCAACUUUAAAGUUCAAAAUUUGAGGCCAGGCAUGUAUUGUAUCAUAGGCCAUUGAUUUAACCUUUGACUUCAACAUCUGCCUGCUGAUUGCGUUAUGUGGAACUGAUAUAUAAAAUUGGGUUUUUAGUCUUGGCUGAA